rnacentral:lncRNA from 1 species
AAGGAAUCAUUCACGUGGUUACUCAGUCGCCACUGUCUGUGCGCAUGUGCAAAGUCAUCGGCAGGUUCUAGGGCCCCCAAAUUAUAAUAUAUGGACCCUGGCCUCAGGGAAAUGGAGAGGUAAGCUAGGGUGACCCAGAGAUGAACCACUCCAAAGCCACAGAGGGUGAUGUGGGUUGCGAUUGAUCUACUUAAGCAGUGUUCAACAUGGCCUUGAUUCGGGGGCAGAGGAAAGCCAGCAGACUCCCUUUCCUGAAGGGAAAGUGAAGGAAAGUGCUCCCAGAUGAAAACAGUACCCCAAGAGCUAGGAAGAAACAGAGUUCAAAGGUUGGGAGCGCCCAUGAAGGAGAUGUCCUUGGAUCUAAAGAAGUAAGGGGUGGUUUCUCAGUAGCUGUCAUUUGUCCAGACUGCAUACAGAGACGGAUGGGGCAAAUACGGGAACCACAAGUUGAGCAGGCACAGAGAGGCUAUCUGCAAGGCCCUGGGUUCCAUCUUUAGCACUGAAAAAAAAAAUUAACUGCACACUUCAGAUGGGUAGGGUCCAUCUCAAGAAAGCUAACUUUAAAAGACAAAGGACACGAAGAUGGACGUUUCCUUCCCAGAGGUCUCCAGGGCGUGUCCAGACCAGUAUAGGAGGCAGACCACUGCGCAUGCUCAUUCUCCUGCCCAGGAAGAAAGCCGUGGCCUGAGCGCGGAGCGCCUGUCUCCCAGCCUGAGGUGCAGUGCUGCAUCUCUGGUCAGUUGGGAGUCUGAGAUGAAGCACUGUAGCUCAGGAAGGGAGAAGAUGUUCUGCAGCCGUCGCCGGGACAUGGUAAGUGUUGGUGAGGGGUAGCGGGCCCGAUCGGUUGUCCCUAGAGUCCGCUGCAGCAACUUGUGGUGAUGUUCCUUGACUCAGGCUGUACCAGGGCUGAGCACUCUUAUGCCAUCCGUAACAGUAAACGCUGGUUCAUUCAAUGGCCGCCAGCACCAACACACUGCCUUUACUUCCUCAGCCCAGAGAAGACACUGCUAACAAACAAACAAACAAACAAACCGCGGCAUCUAUCCAUUCUGAGAGGGUUCCAACACGCCCUCGGAAUCCUUCUCAACACUGAAUAUCUACUAUAAAUGGUUCUGCGUUGAAACCCCUUCAUCUCUGUGGAUCAGACAGUCCCAAACAACCCUUAGUCCUAGAGGUAGAGGCGAACGGUCCUGGCAACCCAACAGAAGUGCCACACAUUAGGCUUGGAGUCACUGUCCUCACUCUUUGAGCUCUAACCCUGGUUGGUGCUGUUGCCUCAACCAGUCUGGCAUCUCGCAAAUGUCUGCCCUGUCCCAGAGGCUUCAGAGAGGCAAGGGGCAACAGAGGGGAGCCACUGGGGUCUACCCAUUUGUAUUUAACCUCCCUAGCCUGCUCAGAGGAAGCUGACCCACUUCAUAGAGCAGAGUAUGAAAAUAGAACGCACCCCACGCGGUCUACAGCUGGUUACUCUCAGCUGUAGUGACAUCAGAACCACACACUUCUACAUGUCCACCUGCAGGCCAGAAGAGGGCAUCAGAUCCCUUUAUAAAUGGUCCUGAGCCAGGUGGCUGCUGGGAAUUGAACUCAGGACCUCUGGAAGCGCAGCCAGCACUCUUAAUCGCUGAGCCAUCUGUCCAGCCCCUGACCAUACAUAUUUCUAAGAGUCCUGUGGCCUCACUUCCUUCAUGCUGGCUCCUCGCCCACCCAGUAGGUCCUAUUUGAUGCCACCUCACAAUCGAGCAAAGAUCAGAGUCUAAGUGACCUGCUGGAGGACAACAGUGAGAAAGUCGAUAGAGCCUGGGAACGGAUUUCAUGACCACUGGCCAGAGUUCUCAUGGCCCCAUGGCAAGGGGGAGGGG